AGUACAUAUCAACAAGAAAUUUAUCCUAUCAUCAGCCAUAUAGUGCCUGCAUUUAUAGCCUACUUUUUGCAAAAGUAAAGUCUUGAGCCUGAAGGAUGAUACUUCUAUUGAGCCUGAAGGAUGAUACUUCUAUGGAUCCUGAACAAAUACCCACACAGUGCCUCUGUUCAUGCUGCUCUCCAGCAUAACGAACCAAAUUAUCCUAAGUUAUCACUAACCAAACUAUCCAAGGUGGAAAAGACAGUAAUCCUUGGAAACAUAGCUGAAUCCUCUCGUGUUGUUCUCCAGAAUAAUGAACCCAAUUAGCCUGGCAAUGUCAAAGAUCAUUAACUAAAUGAAGCAAUGUAGGUAAUAUAGACAAUCCAGACAUCUCACCCCAAUCCUUUCUUAUGAAAGAGUUUUAACAAGUAUCAUCAUUCUACAUUGUAAAAACAAUUAAAGAUAACUCUAUAAUUUAGUUCAAAUAGGAGAAAGUAAUUACCGAGAGUAACAGGAAUAUCAGCUAUACUGCCUCCAUUUUGCCUAUUAUCUUCAAAAGUAAAAUCUUGAGCCUGAAGAAUGAUACUUCUAUGGAGCCACAAAAACAGUUGUAAGCAAUAUCAGACCAAUUUUAACACCUUUUGGCAACUAAUAGAUUAUAUAAGCAAAGCCAGAAUACCCAGACUUGCAGAAUAUCAUCAAUUUCCUAAAAAUAUCUUGAUUAAAACUUGUCUUCCCUAACAUAGGAAGCCACAUUUACCACCAAAAAUGAAAUGCAUUUCUUUUUGUCCAAGCUAGUACAAGCUCAAAACUAAGAUGGAUUCACAAAAUCCAGCACCAAUAUAUAGAAUACUCAGCAAUGAGGAAGCAAAUGACACUUCUCAAGGCAAAACAAUCAUCAAGUAGCAACACUCUUAAGGCUUGGCAUCGUGUCAGAAUAAAGAAAUUGUUACAGGCAUCCCAAUAUUAAGGCAUAAGGGUCUGACUUCCAGUACAUAUUCAAGAAGAAAUUUAUCCUAUCAUCAGCUAUAGGGAUCUGAGUUUGAGUACAUAUCAACAAGAAAUUUAUCCUAUCAUCAGCCAUGUAGUGCCUGCAUUUAUAGCCUACUUUUUGCAAAAGUAAAGUCUUGAGCCUGAAGGAUGAUACUUCUAUGGAUCCUGAACAAAUACCCACACAGUGCCUCUGUUCAUGCUGCUCUCCAGCAUAACGAACCAAAUUAUCCUAAGUUAUCACUAACCAAACUAUCCAAGGUGGAAAAGACAGUAAUCCUUGGAAACAUAGCUGAAUCCUCUCGUGUUGUUCUCCAGAAUAAUGAACC
rnacentral:lncRNA from 1 species